rnacentral:rRNA from 1 species
GACGAACGCUUGCGGCGUGCUUAACACAUGCAAGUCGAACGGUAAGGCUCCAGCUUGCUGGGGUACACGAGUGGCGAACGGGUGAGUAACACGUGGGUGACCUGCCCUGCACUUCGGGAUAAGCCUGGGAAACUGGGUCUAAUACCGGAUAGGACCGCACCGUGAGGGUGUGGUGGAAAGUUUUUUCGGUGUGGGAUGGGCCCGCGGCCUAUCAGCUUGUUGGUGGGGUAAUGGCCUACCAAGGUGGCGACGGGUAGCCGGCCUGAGAGGGUGGACGGCCACAUUGGGACUGAGACACGGCCCAGACUCCUACGGGAGGCAGCAGUGGGGAAUAUUGCACAAUGGGCGGAAGCCUGAUGCAGCGACGCCGCGUGGGGGAUGACGGCCUUCGGGUUGUAAACUCCUUUCACCAUCGACGAAGGGUUUCUGACGGUAGAUGGAGAAGAAGCACCGGCUAACUACGUGCCAGCAGCCGCGGUAAUACGUAGGGUGCGAGCGUUGUCCGGAAUUACUGGGCGUAAAGAGCUCGUAGGUGGUUUGUCGCGUCGUCUGUGAAAUUCCGGGGCUUAACUCCGGGCGUGCAGGCGAUACGGGCAUAACUUGAGUACUGUAGGGGAGACUGGAAUUCCUGGUGUAGCGGUGAAAUGCGCAGAUAUCAGGAGGAACACCGGUGGCGAAGGCGGGUCUCUGGGCAGUAACUGACGCUGAGGAGCGAAAGCAUGGGGAGCGAACAGGAUUAGAUACCCUGGUAGUCCAUGCCGUAAACGGUGGGCGCUAGGUGUGGGUUUCCUUCCACGGGAUCCGUGCCGUAGCUAACGCAUUAAGCGCCCCGCCUGGGGAGUACGGCCGCAAGGCUAAAACUCAAAGGAAUUGACGGGGGCCCGCACAAGCGGCGGAGCAUGUGGAUUAAUUCGAUGCAACGCGAAGAACCUUACCUGGGCUUGACAUAUACAGGAUCGCGCCAGAGAUGGUGUUUCCCUUGUGGCUUGUAUACAGGUGGUGCAUGGUUGUCGUCAGCUCGUGUCGUGAGAUGUUGGGUUAAGUCCCGCAACGAGCGCAACCCUUGUCUUAUGUUGCCAGCACGUUGUGGUGGGGACUCGUAAGAAACUGCCGGGGUUAACUCGGAGGAAGGUGGGGAUGACGUCAAAUCAUCAUGCCCCUUAUGUCCAGGGCUUCACACAUGCUACAACGGUCGGUACAGUGGGUUGCCAGUCCGUGAGGGCGAGCUAAUCCCGCAAAGCCGGUCUCAGUUCGGAUCGGGGUCUGCAACUCGACCCCGUGAAGUCGGAGUCGCUAGUAAUCGCAGAUCAGCAACGCUGCGGUGAAUACGUUCCCGGGCCU